GAGGGUAUAGCUCAGUGGCAGAGUGUGUGCUUAGCAUGCACAAGGUCCUGGGUUCAAUCCCUAGUACCUUCA
rnacentral:tRNA from 1 species